GCUGCUUCAGAGGAACGACAAGGAUAUCUAAACAGGGGAGAGGGAAGGAGGAAGGGAGCCAAGGGUGGGAGGAGUGUUUCAGGAAAGUGACUGAAUUCUUGGAAUAACUGCCAUGAGGCAUGCAAAAGAGAGGAAAAAAGGCCUUGUCCAGGAGUGUGGGGGGCUCAGCUGGGCUAGAAGCCACAGCCUACAGAGGUGUGUGUCAGCAUGAUUGUGUUAUUUUCUCCAGCAGCAGGCCAGCCUGGAAACAGAAGUAAGCAGUGACUAGGUGAGCUUAUGUGACUGGGUUCAAGCUGAUGGGAUGGGAGAGGAAGGUGUUGGAUGGGGAGGCUCUCCUUCUCCAUUGUGCUGUCUGGAAUGGAGACGCCGUGGCUGGAGCUCUAACGGCCAUCUUGGACAAGGAGACAAUGUGCUUAAAAAACAACAACAACAAAAAACAGCAAGAGAAGAGGAGCACAGGUCCCUGAGGCACUUAGACCUACCAUCCCACCUGUGUGCUAACUACUCCUGGAUUUCUUUUAUGUGAGAGAGAAAAUACACUAAUGAUUUUAAGAACUGUUA